rnacentral:rRNA from 1 species
AAUUCCUGCUCAGGAUGAACGCUGGCUACAGGCUUAACACAUGCAAGUCGAGGGGCAGCAUGAACUUAGCUUGCUAAGUUUGAUGGCGACCGGCGCACGGGUGAGUAACACGUAUCUAACCUUCCGUUUACUCAGGGAUAGCCGUUUCGGAAAGAAAGAUUAAUACCUGAUAGUAUGGUGAGAUUGCAUGAUAACACCAUUAAAGAUUUAUUGGUAAACGAUGGGGAUGCGUUCCAUUAGGUAGUAGGG